CCAAUCCUGAAGCAGAAGACGGUUGGUGAGAAGGUGCGACACGGUAUGCGCGAAUGAACGGGUGGGGUUGCUGGUGGUUCCUGGAGGAAUUUCGGGAUCGCAUAGAGGGUCCGAGUGCGCGGAUCCUGCGCCGGAUGAUCUAGUCUAUCAUUGCACGUAAGACGGCGAGGAACGUAUUCCUGAAUUCGAGUUACCUCGAAUACAAACAAUCAACAAUUUUGUGUUUUCGUAUAUAUAAUAAUAACGCUUAUAAUUAAAAAUAAAAUUUCAAGCAUUAUAGCAAGUUUUCGUUCGAAACGUUCGCAAAUUGUGAUAAUUCAAAAUUCAGCGUGCUCUCCAUACUGAUAAAAAAAUGCCACGAUCAGCAGCCAACGAGACGCAGAACAUUUUGAUGACAUACUUCAUCCUUAUUCUUCUAUUAAUUUCACUUUGGGUAUUAUACUCGGGGUUAUUCUUUUAAUCACAGCAGACAUUCCUCAUGGGUUGAAGAACACAGGGAAGACACCUUCAAAAGGAGGAUGCAUUUGGAGGAUCCAAGAUGGACACCUCAGCCUUCGAAAAGCUUAUCGAUUCUCACCAUCACUUAUUACAUUUUCUCUUGGUAUCUAGAGACACAUGUUUUAUACAAAUCGCUUUUGAUUAUUUAAUGACCGAUUUUUACGACAAAAAUUAUUCAAUAAUAAAUUCACUAGAAAAUAGGAAAAUUUUAAAGGGCUUACUCUCUCUUCUAUCAUCUUACGUCUAUUUUUUGUUACUCUGUCGUGGAAAUCGGCCAUCUAUUAAAAAUUAAUUAUUUAUAUUACAAUAAUUAUAUCUGCUAAGGAAUGAUUAGCAAUGGACACUUUAUCUGCACUUAAACCAAUUUAUUAUCUCAUUAACAUUUCUCUAGUUAAAAUUUACAUCGUCAUUAAACUAUGCUCAUUUGAAAUCACUGAAAUAAAUAUAUCAAGUCAUAUGCGUUCAUAUCGAGUCCAUCUCGUUUAUUUGAUUUGAUUGCGACAUCUAGUUUCUUGAAAUUUGUUCGUAGUAUAUCUUCAAAAAAAAUCUAUUACUACAAUAUAUGUUACUAUAAAAUAAAUCUCUUCGUUUAGACUA